UCCUCAGCCUAAGAUUAUUACUUUGGAGAAAGGCUCUGAUGGCCUGGGUUUUAGUAUUGUAGGGGGAUAUGGAAGUCCCCAUGGAGACCUGCCCAUUUAUGUCAAGACUAUAUUUGCCAAGGGAGCAGCUGCAGAUGAUGGCAGACUGAAGCGUGGUGAUCAGAUUUUAGCAGUUAAUGGAGAAGCUUUGGAAGGUGUUACUCACGAGCAAGCAGUAGCUAUUCUGAAAUGCCAGAAAGGAACUGUAACAUUAACAGUGUUAUCAUGAAUCUCUUUUGCACAUGUGGAGAUGAAUGCAGUUAUUUUAGAACAUCGUUGUGCUGCUAUAAUAAUGUACAGUCCUGAAUGAGAUGAAAAACAAACUCCAGAUAAGAUUAGUAUAUUCUAAUCCUGUUGCCUGUAUGGCUGGCACACGUCUAUGGUUUCAUUUCGUCUUAUAAAUGAAGCUUAUUGCUCAGUAAUUUUUCUACUUCUUUAGUAUCUUGUGGCUUCUGUUUCCUGUCAACAAAGUUAACUUACAGAACUUUAAUGAACUGUAUGUGUUUUACUUUACUAAACCAUCAGUUUAUCCCCAUCAAUAGGAAAUCCCUGUGAUAGCUGCUGAAAGUGGAAUUAACAUGCAUGCACAAAAGAGAAUUUGGAUCCUCAUCUGAUGAGCAGAAAUAAAUGCUAAGUGACUUGUCAUCUCACUCAUGAUUUACUUAUGCUAAUUGUCCUUUCAAGUAUGUCAGAAAACAUUAACCAUAUUAUUAAAUUACCACUGUUUCAAAUGAUGAAAUAUCAGAUUCUCCUCUGGGAAGGUGUUUGUAUUCUGCACAGUAAGUCUGACAGGCAAAUGCUAACUUUUCAUAUUUAAGUGUCUGAAUAGGUCCAUGCUAGUUAGUGAUUAUUAAUGUGAUGAGUCAAUUUGCAGCUUUUAACAUUUAAAAAAAGGGAGAAGAGUCUAUUUUUGUAGGUCUUUUAAAAUCUCCCUAACAGUCUUUUAAGAUCUGUAUGUGGCAUAUCUGGUUCUGUUCUACUUUUUUUUUUAAUUAAAAAAAAUGUUCUGAAGGGGCCAAGAUGUUCAGUACAGUGCAUUUGUCAUUGUGCUGGCAUGCUAAAUUGUAAGACCAGUGUCCACAGUUAGACUUCUGACAAGGCCAAAGUUUGCUUCCCAUAAUAUGAGUCUAUAAUUCAGGAAUGUGAUAAUUUGUAAGUUGUGAUGCCCACUGGUGCUGAGGUCUAAAUGAAGGAAGACUGAACCAUUUUGCACAUUUUUGGAAAUCUGAGGUCAGUUGGUGUGGGAAAAGGGGCCUUUACUUAUCACAAACAACUAUCUAUCCAGUCCCCUAUGCUUCAAAGUGCUAGAAUCUCUUUUGGGUUUUUUGUUUGUUUGUUUGUUUUUUGUAUAAUGCCACUAAGAGAUUUAGCAAGUGAGUUUGGAAAGCAAAUAAGUGGUAAUGCAGUUUAAUCUUUCUAACUUUGUGGAGACUGGUGGCUUGCAGGGAGUACCUCAGUAUGAUAUAGGGCUAGGAGGGCUAUUUUUUUAUUACACUACAGCAAAAAAAAAAAAAAAAAAGGAAAAGCAUUUAAAGUAUUCUUCAGUAUGUUUAGGUGAAAUGUGAUAUUAGUCUCCUGACUGUAUAAAGAAAAAUAUACUGAAGUGAGGUUAAACGUGAUCAGUAGUAAGCACAGAAGAGGUGAUGAACUCUCAUUAAGAAUGUUGUUUUUCUUAUUGCAUUAAAAAUUUAUCUCUAUUAUAAAUCACAAAGUGCAUUAACUUGAUGGAAUAUUUUGUGGGUAUUCCAUAAAUAGUGCCUGAGAGAUACUUCUGUUUUAAAAUGGAUUUCAUUUCCAUUGUGCUGGUUGAUUUAUUAAUACGAAGUGUUAGUGGAAUCUUGUUUAUAGAUGCACAUCAAACAUCCAUAUGUACUAAAUUGGAAAACUUUUAACUUACCCCCCUUCCAAGUAUGCAGAAGCUAAAUGAACCUAGUUUAAAUUUUGCAAAUGCAUCUUGAUAAAACAGUGUUUCAAGGUUCUGACCAAAAUUUAAUGACUAAUCUGAUCAAAUAAUUAUCAUGAAAAUAUUUGCAACAUUAUUCUAUUAAAUUUUACAUGGCCAUUUGUCGUCUCUUAUGCAUAUACGGUUGAUAUAAAGAAUAUAGUAUUUAUUGGCUGAGAUUUUGCACUUUUCAUUGUUCAAAAUAUUAUUGCUUCUUGUAACUUGCACUUUUUUUGUGUGCUGAGUAUGUUACUGCCAAAAAUUGCAUUGCAACUAACUGAUAAACCAGUGAACAUUAAGGGGAAACAAAUACAGUAUUUAAAGGAUCAAUUCUAUAAUUGAAUUUCAAUAACAAUUGUCCAGGUUGAGGUGUUCUGGCUUGUUAAAACUGUUAUCUACUUCUGUGCAAUGGGGAAAAAACAGCUAAACUUCCUGAUUGUAUGUUUAUGUAUAUCAGUAAAACAAGAUGUUUUAUUAUUUCCAAAGAUUCUAAAUAAAGUUCAGUUACUAAGUA